rnacentral:rRNA from 1 species
GACAGAGGUGCCAAGCGUUAGGCGGAAUCACUGGGCUUAAAGCGUGUGUAGGCGGGCGAUCAAGUACCUUGUGAAAUCCCACGGCUCAACCGUGGAACUGCUGGGUAUACUGGUUGUCUUGAGCCAGCUAGGGGCGAGCGGAACAGACGGUGGAGCGGUGAAAUGCGUAGAUAUCGCUUGGAACGCCGAAGGUGAAAACAGGCUGCUGGGGUUGUGCCGACGCUGAGACACGAAAGCCAGGGGAGCAAACGGG